AUGAACCGGAAGUUUCCAACCGCACGAAAAUGGUUGUAUAGAGAGUUUCUAGAACAUUAUAGAUGGAUACCUGGAAAUAAGAAGUGGCAGAAUAGAAGAAAUAAGAGAUCACAUAUUGGAAGACUUGUGCAUGCACACCCUGCUGAAGGAGAGAGGUACUACUUGCGUGUGCUCCUAAGUCAUGUCCGAGGUGCCACUUCAUUCGAUGAUUUAAAAACAGUAAAUGGCAAGCCAUGCAGUUCCUUCAGGGAGGCAUGUGAGCACUUAGGCCUCAUUGAGCACGAUAGGACUCUUGAUGAUUGCAUGACGGAGGCAGCCACAUUUCAGAUGCCUUCUGCCCUAAGACGGUUAUUUGCAACUAUACUGGUGUUUUGCGAGGCAAUAGAAAUCCGGCAGCUGUGGGACAAACACCUGGCAUCAAUAACUGAGGAUUACCGGCGUAAUCAAUCCAAUGAGGCAACACUUGAGCAGAUGGUCCUCAGAGAUAUCAGGGAUAUGUUGCAAUCCAUGGGAAAAGAUAUUACAAGCUAUGGACUUCCAGAUUUGGUUGAGAACGAUGGUUCUUCUGACGGUGAGUACAAAGAGGUAACAGAGGAGAGGCAAAUUAGCAUGGACAAAGAACACCUAGAUUUAUUUAGCAGUUUGAACAAUGAACAGCUGGCUGGUUUCAAUGAAAUAAUGGAUCAUGUGAUGGAACACAAAAGCCAGAUAUUCUUU
rnacentral:rRNA from 1 species